rnacentral:misc_RNA from 1 species
GGAAGGAUCAUUAACAAGCCGUGAGAGAUCAUCUGGUCUCACACCUGGCCAACCUUGUUUAUUUAAACCCUGUUGCUUUGGUGGGCCUGCCACACAAAGGCUGCCGGGAAAUUUAUUUAGUUUUCGGGCUAGUGCCCACCAAAGUCCCUUUAAACUCUUUGUUUUUUGUGCUGUCUGAGCAUGCAAAUGCAAAAUUUAGUUAAAAACUUUCAACAACGGAUCUCUUGGUUCUGGCAUCGAUGAAGAACGCAGCGAAAUGCGAUAAGUAAUGUGAAUUGCAGAAUUCCGCGAAUCAUCGAAUUUUUGAACGCAUAUUGCGCCCUCUGGUAUUCCGGAGGGCAUGCCUGUCCGAGCGUCAUUACUAUUCUCAAGCACGGCUUGUUUUGAGCAAUCUGUUCUUUUAAUGGACAUGCUUGAAAUGCAGUGGCAAUGCUGCAUCUGGUGCCCAAGCGUUAUAGGGCUUUGUCACACGCUUUGUUGGCUCCAGUCAGCAUUUUGGCCCCAAAACCCCCUAAAAAUCUGAAAUUGACCUCGGAUCAGGCAAGAAUACCCGCUGAACUUAAGCAUAUCAAUAAGCGGAGGAAAAGAAACCAACAGGGAUUGCCUUAGUAACGGCGAGUGAAGCGGCAAAAGCUCAAAUUUGAAAUCUGGCUUCCAUUUUUGGGGCCCGAGUUGUAAUUUGUAGAGGAUGCUUUGGGUGUGGCUGCGGUCUAAGUCCCCUGGAACGGGGCAUCAUAGAGGGUGAGAAUCCCGUCUGGGACCGCUAGCCACGUCUAUGUAAAGCUCCUUCGACGAGUCGAGUUGUUUGGGAAUGCAGCUCUAAAUGGGUGGUAAAUUUCAUCUAAAGCUAAAUAUUGGCCAGAGACCGAUAGCGCACAAGUAGAGUGAUCGAAAGAUGAAAAGCACUUUGAAAAGAGAGUUAAACAGCAUGUGAAAUUGUUGAAAGGGAAGCGCUUGCGACCAGACUCGGCCGUGAUUGUUCAGCCGGCUUGUUGGCCGGUGCACUCUUUUGCGGUCGAGCCAGCGUCGGUUCUGACGGUUGGUUAAAGGCUUUCGGAAUGUGUCGUCUUUCGGGGCGUCUUAUAGCCGAUGGUGCAAUGCAGCCUGUUGGGACCGAGGAACGCGCUUCGGCACGGACGCUGGCAUAAUGGUCGUAAGCGACCCGUCUUGAAACACGGACCAAGGAGUCUAACAUCCACGCGAGUGUUCGGGUGUCAAACCCGUCCGCGCAGUGAAAGCGAACGGAGGUGGGAACCUUUUUUAAAGGCGCACCAUCGACCGAUCCUGAUGUCUUCGGAUGGAUUUGAGUAAGAGCGUGGCUGUUGGGACCCGAAAGAUGGUGAACUAUGCCUGAAUAGGGUGAAGCCAGAGGAAACUCUGGUGGAGGCUCGCAGCGGUUCUGACGUGCAAAUCGAUCGUCAAAUUUGGGUAUAGGGGUGAGUUUGAUCUUUUUUUUUUAAUGAUUGUUUGUUUCGAGUUUAUAUCAGGUGGAUGCUUACUUAAAAAACCUUAGGCGAAAGACCAAUCGAACCAUCUGGUAGCUGGUUCCUGC